GGGGAACUUGGCCUGGCCCCAUCCCAGGUCAGAUCCUGCACCUGGCCUGUUCCAACUGCCUCUCAGAGGUCACAAUUCUAGAGCCUUCAGGCCCAAGGCAAGAAUGGAAGGAACGUGGAGUUUCUGACAGGCUGGAGUGCUUUUAAGGAAAAAGAAAACGUCUAUUUCCAAAUAGAUUUCCCUGGAAGAUCUGAAUUCUUCAGGUAAUUUGAUGAUGGACCCUAACACGUGUGAGAUCCUGUGCCCAGUGAAACCCGGUUUACAAGAGAGCAGCCAAGGAGAUCUUUUGCAGUUAAUGAGUCCCCACGCAGCUGGACAGCUCCUCUCGGACACUGAGAACUCUAACCCCAAAAUGACCCCAAUUUGACACCGCAAGAUGAAAUUUUACCGCCUGUUAAAACCAUUUCCAGCCUGGGCAAAAGGAGCUGACUGUUGACGGAGGUGUGUGCCGCCUCCUGCGACCCCCAUCUCACGCCUGUCUCCUGGGCCUGCCCCACCUACUUUUCCUUUACCCCAAAUGUGGGCGAGCAGAUGAGCCUCACAGCCCGGGCGGGGUUGCGGAGGCUGAGAAUGGAGCAUCAGCAAUGUUCUAUCAGACUAGAAAUCAGAAAGCCGG